UAGGGAAUCUUCGGCAAUGGACGAAAGUCUGACCGAGCAACGCCGCGUGAGUGAAGAAGGUUUUCGGAUCGUAAAACUCUGUUGUUAGAGAAGAACAAGGACGUUAGUAACUGAACGUCCCCUGACGGUAUCUAACCAGAAAGCCACGGCUAACUACGUGCCAGCAGCCGCGGUAAUACGUAGGUGGCAAGCGUUGUCCGGAUUUAUUGGGCGUAAAGCGAGCGCAGGCGGUUUCUUAAGUCUGAUGUGAAAGCCCCCGGCUCAACCGGGGAGGGUCAUUGGAAAAUUGGAGACUUGAGUGCAGAAGAGGAGAGUGGAAUUCCAUGUGUAGCGGUGAAAUGCGUAGAUAUAUGGAGGAACACCAGUGGCGAAGGCGGCUCUCUGGUCUGUAACUGACGCUGAGGCUCGAAAGCGUGGGGAGCAAACAGG
rnacentral:rRNA from 1 species